rnacentral:tRNA from 1 species
GAGCGCAUAGCUCAACCGGUAGAGCAACUGACUUUUAAUCAGUAGGUCGUGGGUUCGAGUCCCACUGCGCUCACCA